ACUUGCAGACCGAAAGGUCCCAGGUUCAAACCCCAGGAGCAGCGUGAGCGGCCGCUGUUAGCUCCAGCUCCUGCCAACCUAGCAGUUCAAAAACAUGCCAAUUAUGAGUAGAUCAAUAGGUACCGCUCCGGCAGGAAGGUAACGGCGCUCCAUGCAGUCAUGCCGGCCACAUGACCUUGGAGGUGUCUACAGAUAAUGCUGGCUCUUCGGCUUAGAAAUGGAGAUGAGCACCAACCCCCAGAGUCAGACAUGACUGGACUUAACGUCAGGGGAAACCUUUACCUUUACCUAUUCCCUUUUGAAACUGGAAAUGAAGGGGAAAGUUAAAGAAAUUGAGUGAAACUGAUUUUUUUUUUCAUUUUAUAACAUCUAGAAUCCUAUACUGGUUGGAGAAUUCUGGGAGUUGUAGUCCAGAAAAGGAACACUUCCAAGCUGCAAGUCUGAAGGAUUGUGGACCGGCCCUCUGCUUCAAAAGUUUGAGGACCCCUGCAUUAGAUCAUGAAGAGUCGGAAGCAACUGAAGAAAUAAACAACACACAUCUAUAUGAGACAAUCACACAUCUAUAUGAGACAAUCAGGUGUCGGUCUGAAAUGUAAGUGAGCAUCACUAAAGAGCACUGCCCCUUCAAAUAAGAAUUCUGUCCACGAAUGAAAUUAUUCUUCUGUCUCCAGAUUGCUAGCAUUGCUUCCACAAACAUUUAGAAAUAACAUCUAAGGAAAAGGAGAGGUCUAGGAAAUGUGAACACAGCAGGGCUCUAGGUGUGAAUGAUUUCCAGUGUCUCACUCUGCAAUGCUAAUUUCAGUUGAGUGGAGCAGAAUUCCUUCUUGGGAGACAAUGAUCUCAUUUUAACACUCCCUUUACAGUGGUAUUCCUGGAGGUAACCAGAUGUCAGCAUAUACAAGUGAGCUUAUAGCACUGAUGUGUGCUCUUAGAGCUUGGAAAAUUAAGUUUAAGGACAUCAAAGAAAAUGCCACAGGGAGCCCAUCCAUAACAUGAGCAGUGGUAGGAUCCAGAGCCCCACUGUACUCACUGCUCAGUUAUGGAAGGCUUCAGUCUGUCAAUAUAAUCUCUUAAAAGGAACUCACCAAGCUCAGCUGCUACGGAGGGUGAGAGUUCAGUGCCAGAGUGCACAUUUCAAGACAGCAGGUACAACAAAGUAUAAGCAAGUGAGAAUCUUUAUGACAGAGCAGGACAGCUGCAGGCAGUGAAUUUGGCGAAAUGGCCAGCUUGGGCUAUGUAAGGUGUACAGUUAAGAAAAGGCCUUCUUUAGAUUCUGCAUCGCCUGUCUGCUGACAGUGCUCUAUGGCUGCUUUGACUCUUGAGCCACACCCAGAUACCGGGAAGAAAUCAGGGGUUUGAAUUGUUUCUUAUUUGGGCACAGUUAGAGAAAAUGACAAAAGGGUUAUCAAACCACAAUAAUUAUACAGUGUGGGCAUGUCCCAGAACUUGUUAAAUUUCAGCUCCCAUUUCUCACCAAAGACUACGCUGUCAUGCUUUGCAAAGGCACUGUGCUGUGUGUGUUAGCUGGAAAAUGAAGCCAAUUGGCUGAGCCUGCAAAGACCUGGGGAUUGAUUUGAUACUGUUACUGCUCUGCUACUGCAGAACCAGUUUGGACAAGUUUUUCAGUGCUGACUGAGUACUGCUGGUGAAGAGAACUGUGUACUCAGAGAGGCAUUGCUAUUUUGAGGCCUGUUUGCUGCUGAGAAAAGAGGGUGAAAAACCAAGACUGUAUCCUUGAGAGACCAUUGUAAAUAUUACUGCUUUUUGCUCUCUUGGAAUCAGUGAAGUUCCUGUAUUUUUGUUCUACAAAUCUGAGUGGCAUGUUAUUGUUCUGCAGGUGACUCUGGAUCGUGGACGCAUCUAAGAGCUUCCAUUUAUUGUCAUCAAUCCGCAAUAUAUGCCAGAGGGCCACAAAUAGCCCACUUUUGAUCUAUAGUGGGUUGGCAAAGCAAAGCCCUGGGCUCAAAUGUGGGCCCUGUGUUCCUGGACUAUUCUUUUUGAGUAAGACGAGAGGGAGGGGGUGAAUUGCCUUUCCUGAAAGACUCGAGGAGCAGCCGUUCCUCCCUAGAAUGAGUCACAGAUGGUCCCUUGCAUUGUUUUACAUCAAAAAUUCAAUAAGGACAACAACAAAGCAGAAGUGAAUUUUGACCACUUUUGCAUUGGGUUUUUUUUUUAAUCUAAUUGAACCCCAGUUCUGUCAAAGUUGUCACCUUGUUCUAUAGAAUUUGACAAUUCCCCAGCAUAUCAGACUAGGACAAAGUCGCCGGUGUCUUUCUCAGCCCUAUUUGAAGAUGCUAGUGCUGAAUGUAGGACUUUCUCCUAACUGAGCUCUAGCCCUUGCCCUUCAGCAAGGAAGCACCACAGCCUGCUUGCAUAGCUGCCAACUAGGCUUCCAAUGGAUGCCCACUGUGAAAGAUUUCAGCCUCUUCUAGAGGCAAUAAAUGCAUGCUUCCAGGACUAAUCUGGAAAUGCAAGUGAUCAAAAAGCUGUGGGAAGAACCCAUGGACUAGGGCAGCAGGAAGGUGGUGAGAUAAAUGCAUACAGUAUCUAUAUUUAACAGCAACUUGAUAUUAGAACACAAUGUUUUCUUCAGCUGGUACAUAAACUUUAUUGUCUGCAAAUUCUUUCAGAACAAACAGUUGUUAAAGAAGUACAGUUACAGGAGAGGGUUGAAUGGAUUGCAGUCUUACUGUAUAUGGAAUGUUUGAAAUUACAUGACAUGAUGGAGCGGCGGACAGUAUUAUUUUGGAAGUGCAUUAUAUGGUGUGAAAUUAAUUUGGAAAGAAUCCCCACAUGCUUCAGACUGGGAUUGAAAUAGUAAAUGGACCUCCAUGGACCACACCAAAAUUCUGAUCAGCUUUCAGACUGCUCACUCUCCAACCCCCCUAUAGAAGCUGAAUUGAUUGUUGUUGAGAGUGCUACAUUGGAACAGUCAGUGACAGGUUAGAACAAGACUCCAGUCCAAUUAAAGAAAGGAAAAGGCUCUCCUGGGAUCCCUUGUCUACUCAUCCAGACGUAAAGGGAAGAGGCAGCUACACAGACAUGAAGAGAAGACAUCAAGAAGAUGAAUAGGUGGAAAGGUGGAGCCAGAAAGGUCUAAGCUGAAAAAGAGCUUAGCUCUUCUGAAGAAUUGUAUCAAAUGAACCAAACUGCAACUUGAAAGCAAAAGAUUAUGGAAGGAAAUCCCCAUAAUAAUGCAGUGUAUGUGCUUUUGAGUGACUUGAUGACCCAACAAAACACAUACGGUUCCUUAAGUGGUUUGCCAUUGCCCUUCUCUGACAUCACUUGUUCUUCCCUGGCAAACCCCAAUCUCAGUAUUAAGUAGGCCUGGCCCUGUUUACAUUCCAAGAUCAGAUGGGAUAUGGUUUUAAGGAUACUGAAGCCAUGUCAGAAAGACUGGGGGGGAAUUUUAUAGUUUGUCAAGAGGAGGAGAUGAUGAUGAUGAUGAUGAUGAUGAUGAUGAUGAAGAGGAGGAGGAAGAAGAAGAAGACCAUCAUCAGCUGCUUUAACUUGGUAGUAGUUUUUGGCUGAAUUCUUGGGAUGUCAGAGAAAACCAUCCCAAGAUGAAGAAAAGUUGAAACUAUUGCCAAGCGCUUGAGCUUCUACAACAAUAUGAUGCUUUGGAACGAAUCUUCUGCUAUUAAUACAUACCUUGACGAAUGUAUGAAGUCACUAUAUUAACAGUAUUACAAUGUUGCUCUACCUAUUAUGUAGCAUAACUUAUGACUGCAAUCCUAAACACCUUUUCAGGGAACCAAGAGCUCGUCUACACAAUCUGGAUAUUAGAAGAUCAAUCCAGAGGUAAACACCCAAUAACAACUGUACUAGGAUGGGAUUUUUUAGUCUUUCUCGAUCAUGUUUUAUUGAAAAAUCCACACAACACUAGAUUUAAAUUGUGGACAACACUGUCAUCUAUGCAAACAUAAAAAAAUUCAGUUGUUUUCUUUUUUU